rnacentral:misc_RNA from 1 species
UCCCAAUUAUCUCGGGCAGUCCCCUGUGACAUAUAAAACACAGGGCAAGGGUUGCGUUCGUUACCCGAAUUAACGGUACGUCUCAAGACACGAACUGACGACAGCCAUGCAGCACCUGCCCAACUGUCUUGCGAAGUCCUACUUUCAUAGGAUGGUCAGUUGGGUUUCUAGUCCUGGUAAGGUUUACGGUUGUUGUCGAAUUAAGCCACAUGGUCCACCGCUUGUGUGAGUCCCCGUCUAUUCCUUUGAGUUUUAAACUUGCGUUCGUACUUCCCAGGCGGGAUGCUUAACGCGUUAGCUUCGCCACUAGCAGGGUCGACACUGCUAAUAGCCAGCAUCCAUCGUUUACAGCGUGGACUA